CCUACGGGAGGCAGCAGUCGAGAAUCAUUCACAAUGGGCGAAACCCUGAUGGUGCGACGCAGCGUGGGGGAAUGAAGGCCUUCGGAUUGUAAACGCCUGUCAUGUGGGAGCAAAUUAAAAAGAUAGUACCACAAGAGGAAGAGACGACUAACUCUGUGCCAGCAGCCGCGGUAAGACAGAGGGCCCAAGCGUUGUUCCGAAUCGCUGGGGGUAAAGCGUGCGUAGGCUGUUUUGUAAGUCGUGUGUGAAAGGCGCGGGCUCAACCCGCGGACGGCACAUGAUACUGGGAUACUAGAGUAAGGGAGGGGGAACCGGAAUUCUCGGUGUAGCAGUGAAAUGCGUAGAUAUAGAGAGGAACACGAGUGGCGAAGGCAGGUUACUGGACAUUAACUGACGCUGAGGCACGAAGGCCAGGGGAGCGAAAGGGAUUAGAUACCCGUGUAGUC
rnacentral:rRNA from 1 species